GAACCUUGGGUGACUUAGUUUCACUCAGACACUGUGCUCCCUGCUUCCUUCUUGCAUUCAGCAUCCACACUAUUGAGACAAAUGCACAGCUGUGGAAACCUUUCAAAACUUCAUGGAACUCGAUGUUCUGGAAUACUGAAGGUCUUAAAUCUCUAUGGGUGUUCACAGUAAUAGUUCAGAAAUGCUUACAGUGUGAGCUGCAGCCUGCUAGAAUUGGGAACUGGUCUCCUCAUUUGCAAGCCAUUGGGACAGGCUCUUGCUUGGCAAGGCAGCUUGUCAGAGAUCAGGGGUGAUGUCUUUUUUCUGAGGAGAUGCACUUAGGUGGGAAUGGCCCAUAGAAUCUUUUUUGCAUGUUCCAGCCUUUGCAGGAGUGUGUUGUGUAUCCUUGUGUGCUGUCAUUGGUGUGGCAAAAAGCAAGUGCCAUGUUCAUGUCCGUGCCACAGAAAAUGCUAAGGCUUUGUUCUCUCUCAGCGUCAGCAAAAGCGCCCUGGAGAGGCGCUUGGUUCCAGUCCAUCUGAGGAACAAAGCAGACUCAUGCCCUCCAGAGCAGGUGAAAGUCUGCAGACAGCGCCAAGAGACCUCGAGGAAAGAGGUUCACCUGCUUUGGAGCCUGUUUAUGGCGAAGUCACAUAUAGCUCAGAAGACUCUUCUGAAGCUCAGAAGACUCUUCUGAGAUUGAUGUUGUCACUGUCAGUGACGAUGAGUCUGCUCUGCAAAAGCGCCCUGGAGAGGCGCUUCAUUCAGGUCCAGCAGAGAAACAGAGCAGGCUGCUGACCUCCAGAGCAGGUGAAAGUCUGCAGACAGCGCCAAGAGACCUCGAGGAAAGAGGUUCACCUGCUUUGGAGCCUGGUAAGAACAGAAACUGCUGCUGGACGGUUGGAGAUCAUUGGAACAUGUGCUUUUGUCAGUUCCUAGGCCCUUUCCUGGGGAGAAAGGGAACCUUGGGGUUGAGGAAGGUGGGCUUGAUGCCUGCUAUGGCAUCCCUAAACAACAAGCCCACUGACAGCUGUUUUGGUUUCUUACUGAACUCUGCCCAUUGGCCUCUAGUGGGAGAUGAGCUGUGUAGCAAAGGCCCCAGGUGCUGCUCAAACACCUGAAUGUGUGCUCUGACGAGCUGGCAGUGACUGCAGCUGCCACAGUGGAGGUGGCAGGCUGAGUUUGGGAUCUCCCAAGCUAGACAAACAUGAACAAAAGAUAGUAGUCGGUAGCUGUGGCCCAUUCUUCAGGGGAACAUGUACAGCAUGGUAUAGUAAAAUUAGCAUCCCCUCUAGUCUUGGUUGUUUUUUUCUCCUCUGUGCUAAACAUGCCCCUCUGUGAGAGGAAUGAUCUGUUGGGGUGAACAUCUCGUAAGAUGUUGUCAUCCAACAGAACCUGUGAGGAGCUCAGGUGCUCAUCCCCUUGUUUUGCCCCUCCGAGGACAGGGCUGGCAGUGCUCCCUCUGGAUAUUGAAGGCCAAGCUUGAGUGAAAUUGUGGACACAUUCCUGAAGCGUAGG
rnacentral:lncRNA from 1 species